UCCGGCUUACCACCGGCAGUUUCCUUAGAGUAGCCCAACUUAAUGAUGGCAACUAAGGAUGAGGGUUGCGCUCGUUGCGGGACUUAACCCAACAUCUCACGACACGAGCUGACGACAGCCAUGCAGCACCUGUGUGGUAGCCAGCCGAACUGAAGGAGAACAUUUCUGCUCCCCAAACUACCCAUGUCAAGGCCUGGUAAGGUUCUUCGCGUUGCCUCGAAUUAAACCACAUGCUCCACCGCUUGUGCGGGUCCCCGUCAAUUCCUUUGAGUUUUAAUCUUGCGACCGUACUCCCCAGGCGGGAUGCUUAACGCGUUAGCUGCGCCACUGAGACGUGAGUCCCAACGGCUAGCAUCCAUCGUUUACGGCGUGGACUAC
rnacentral:misc_RNA from 1 species